CUGGAAGAGGGCACAAGAGGAAUAUCUGAGCGUUGGACGUGUUCUUGAUCUACUGGAGAUGGUUAUACAGGUAUGAGACAAGAGGCCCAGCUGCUGUGCUCUGGAAGGGACCACAGGUGGCUUACAGAUGUGCUGAGCAUUUUGGACCCUGUUUCUCAGUUCGUAUGAACAGAAGAGUUCAUGCUAGCCAUGUGGGAUCUUAGCUCCCCAACCAGGGAUCGACUCUGCACUCGUGCACUGGAAGGCAAAGUCUUAACCGCUGGACCACCAGAAUCUCUGUGAAGUCAACUCUUGCUGGAAGUGGCCACUCCGUGUUAAAGAAGUGAGGAGACCAUAUGUGAGAAACAGUGUUUGGGGUCACUAAUCAAUUGCACAGUGAGAUCCUGGGUACCAGGUCCAAGGCUACCCGUUAAUAAGAAAAACUGCAUAAGGUCAUAUUAUUGUAUAACAUAGCUCAAAAGAGGCAUAUGAAUUUUAACAUCAGGUCACAUAUAAGGAGAGGGAAAUGGACAAUAACUGUGAGUUAAUGGAGAAAAAAAUCCUAGCACACAGCAGCCGUAUGGUGCUUUAUUCCAACUGAAUGGAGCAAGGUGAAUGAUCUGAAGAAUGGUGGCAUGACGAAAUCGAUCCACAUUGAAGAAAGAAGAAAUUUAUUAGGGCUCAGGAGGUUGACACUAGACCUCAUAUUCUUCUCUAUUUCUAAACACCAAAGUUAGAGAAGGGGGAUUUAGAAAUAAAUAUCUAGAAGGCUUUUUUCCAUCUAUUAUCACUGGGGUAAGCUUAGUCCCUUGGAACAAUGAAAAUAAGUUUGAAAGAGCUUCUUGUUUUUCCAACUCUUUGUGAAAGUGGUUUCCCUAUUUCUAUCGUCUGUUGCCAAAAGUGUUUAAUAACGUUUAUCUUUGACCUUCUACCCAUUUGCCCUUUUAGUUUAUUUGUGCCAGCCCUGUGAAUCCAUGUGGUACAGAGCAAUUUAGUGAGUAUCUGGUCUGUAAAUCAAAACCAUCUCAAAGCAGUUUGCAACGAUACAGGAGUGUACUUUUUCUCCAA